AGUACCCUACGGGGCGCAGCAGUGGGGGAUAUUGCACAAUGGGGGAAACCCUGAUGCAGCGACGCCGCGUGUGGGAAGACGGUCCUCUGGAUUGUAAACCACUGUCCCCAGGGACGAAAAUGACGGUACCUGGGGAGGAAGCUCCGGCUAACUACGUGCCAGCAGCCGCGGUAAUACGUAGGGAGCGAGCGUUGUCCGGAAUUACUGGGUGUAAAGGGAGCGAAGGCGGGGAUGCAAGUUGGGUGUCAAAACUACCGGCUCAACUGGGAGCCGC
rnacentral:rRNA from 1 species